rnacentral:rRNA from 1 species
GACGAACGCUGGCGGCGUGCUUAACACAUGCAAGUCGAACGGUGAAGCGCCUUCCUUUUUGGUGGGUGUGGAUGAGUGGCGAACGGGUGAGUAACACGUGAGUAACCUGCCCCCUUCUUCUGGAUAACCGCAUGAAAGUGUUGCUAAUACGGGAUAUUCUGGGUCUGUCGCAUGAUGGGUCUGGGAAAGAUUUUGUUUCGGUGGGGGAUGGGCUCGCGGCCUAUCAGCUUGUUGGUGGGGUGAUGGCCUACCAAGGCGGUGACGGGUAGCCGGCCUGAGAGGGUGGACGGCCACACUGGGACGGAGACACGGCCCAGACUCCGACGGGAGGCAGCAGGGGGGAAUAUUGCACAAUGGGCGGAAGCCUGAUGCAGCGACGCCGCGGGAGGGAUGGAGGCCUGCGGGUUGUGAACCUCUUUCGCCAGUGAAGCAGGCCUGCCUCGUUUGUGGGUGGGUUGACGGUAGCUGGAGAAGAAGCGCCGGCUAACUACGUG